rnacentral:lncRNA from 1 species
AUGGGCUGUGCCUCUGCCAAGCAUGUUGCCACUGUUCAAAAUGAAGAGGAAGCCCAGAAAGGGAAGAACUACCAGAACGGAGAUGUGUUUCGCGAUGAGUAUAGGAUCAAACCGGUGGAAGAGGUCAAAUACAUGAAAAACGGGGCAGAAGAGGAGCAGAAGAUAGCAGUCAGGAACCAAGAAACCUUGGAAAAAAGUGAGAGUUCAAAUGUAAGACUUUAAUAAAGAGAUUCCAGGAUUAGUUCAUCAACCCAGAGCAAACAUGUACAUCUCUGAAACCCAACAAGAAUUCUUCAGAAUGUUGGAUGAAAAAAUUGAAAAGGGUCAAGAUUACUGUUCGAAAAAAGAAGAUACCACAUAA